UACGAAGGGGGCUAGCGUUGCUCGGAAUCACUGGGCGUAAAGGGUGCGUAGGCGGCCUUCUAAGUCGAACGUGAAAUCCCCGGGCUCAACCCGGGAACUGCGUCCGAUACUGGAAGGCUUGAAUCCGGGAGAGGGAUGCGGAAUUCCAGGUGUAGCGGUGAAAUGCGUAGAUAUCUGGAGAACACCGGUGGCGAAGGCGGCAGUCCUGGACCGGUAUUGACGCUGAGCGCGAAAGCCAGGGGAGCAAAGCGGG
rnacentral:rRNA from 1 species